GGUCAAAAGCAGGCAGAUGGGACUAGUAUAGAUGGAGCAUGUCGGUCGGCAGGGGCAAGUUGGGCUGAGGGCCUGUU